rnacentral:tRNA from 1 species
GCUGGCGCAGCUCAGUUGGCAGAGCAACCGACUUUUAAUCGGUAGGCUGAAGGUUCGAAUCCUUUCGCCGGCA